GCCGCCAUAGCUCAGGGGUAGAGCGCAUCAUUGGUAAUGAUGAGGUCGAAAGUUCAAAUCUUUUUGGUGGCACCA
rnacentral:tRNA from 1 species